UUAUACAACGGAGAGUUUGAUCCUGGCUCAGGAUGAACGCUAGCGGCAGGCCUAACACAUGCAAGUCGAGGGGCAGCACGGAUUAGUUUACUAAUUGGGUGGCGACCGGCGCACGGGUGCGUAACGCGUAUGCAACCUACCUUGUACUGGGGUAUAGCCCGGAGAAAUUCGGAUUAAUCCCCCAUAGUAUUAAAUAACCGCAUGGUUGAAUAAUUAAAGGUUACGGUACAAGAUGGGCAUGCGUCCUAUUAGCUAGAUGGUGAGGUAACGGCUCACCAUGGCGACGAUAGGUAGGGGGCCUGAGAGGGUGGUCCCCCACACUGGUACUGAGAC
rnacentral:rRNA from 1 species